GUGCAGCAGUCGCGAACCUUCGGCAAUGGGGGAAACCCUGACCGAGCGACGCCGCGUGUGGGAUGAAGGCCCUUGGGUUGUAAACCACUGUCAGAGGGGAUGAAAUGCCGGAAAGUUAUCUCUCCGGUUUGACAUAGCCUCAGAGGAAGCACGGGCUAAGUUCGUGCCAGCAGCCGCGGUAAGACGAACUGUGCAAACGUUAUUCGGAAUCACUGGGCUUGAAGAGUGCGUAGGCGGUUUCGUAAGUAGGGUGUGAAAGCCCCCGGCUCAACCGGGGAAUUGCGUCCUAAACUGCGAGGCUGGAGUGAGGUAGGGGUGUGUGGAACUUCCAGUGGAGCGGUGAAAUGUGUUGAUAUUGGAAGGAACGCCGGUGGCGAAAGCGACACACUGGAUCUUGUCUGACGCUGAGGCACGAAAGCCAGGGGAGCAAACGGGAUUAGAUACCCGUGUAGU
rnacentral:rRNA from 1 species